GGAAAGGCUGUAACUCAGUGGUAGAGCACCCCUUGGCUUACACCAUGGGUAGGCAAAACAAACCCCGGGGGCUGGAUCCGGCCCAAUCGCCUUCUAAAUCCAGGCCGCAGAUGGUCCGGGAACCGGCAUAGAAUGUGCCCUUUUAUUUAAAAUGCAUCUCUGGGUUAUUUGUGGGGCAUAGGAAUUUGUUUUAUUCCCCCCCCCCCAAAAUAUAUAUAGUCUGGCCCCCCACAAGGUCUGAGGGGCAGUGGACUGGCCCUCUGCUGAAAAAGUUUGCUGACCCAUGGCCUACACAAAGCUCCAGGUUCGAUUCCUGGCAUUUCCA